rnacentral:lncRNA from 1 species
CAGCUGCCCUGCUAUGGACAAGGGGGCAGCUCCUCCUGAAGGACAAAAGGGGAAUUCUCUGCGCACCCCUGGGCCCCGCGUCCAGGAGGAAGACUCGGGAGAGACCGCAAAACUGCGGGCCAAACGCCACAGCCUUCGGGGCCAUGGUGAGUUCUGCCCGAAAGGGAACUUCCGGGGGAGACCAGAAGGCCGGUCCGCGCCGCCACGUGACUGCCGCCCGGCCUGUCACUCAUCCCCGGGGAUGAAGAGAGCAAUAGCUAAUCAGGAUGGUCAGGGGAGGGGCAGAAUGUACUGUCCAAUCAGGGCCGCCAGGGAAGGUGACGGCUGGAGCACUGUCCAAUCAGAGGCGUCUAGGUCGACAUCCACCCGCGUGGACGUUGGGCUGCUUCCGGCCGUUGUGCCUGAGCGUCUGCCCCGCCCCCGCCGCGCUCCUACGUGCGUGGGCCGCGGGGACUGCCGGGAGGACGUCCGGACACCCGGGAAGGUGGGAGCAGGAGAGGAAAGAAGAGAAUACCACUGAAACCCUGCUGUAUAAAAUCCUUAGGUAUCCCAGGAGGUGAGCCCUGCAUGCAAGUCCCGUGAAGUCCAGGGUGGCGCCAAGACCACCUUCUCACCUGGUGAGAGCUGUUACCUCCUCGGACAACUCCUGGCUUCUCACCUGGUGAGAGCUGUUACCUCCUCGGACCACUCCUGGCUUCUCACCUGGUGAGAGCUGUUACCUCCUCGGACCACUCCUGGCUUCUCACCUGGUGAGAGCUGUUACCUCCUCGGACCACUCCUGGCUUCUCACCUGGUGAGAGCUGUUACCUCCUCGGACCACUCCUGGCUUCUCACCUGGUGAGAGCUGUUACCUCCUUGGACAACUCCUGGCUUCUCACCUGGUGAGAGCUGUUACCUCCUCGUACAACUCCUGGCUUCUCACUUGGUGAGAGCUGUUACCUCCUUGGACAACUCCUGGCUUCUCACCUGGUGAGAGCUGUUACCUCCUUGGACAACUCCUGACUUCUCACCUGGUGAGAGCUGUUACUUCCUCGGACCACUCCUGGCUUCUCCGUCUGCUCCCUUUAGUCUAUUUUUGGUACAAAUGAGGGAUGUUUAGAGCUACAUGAUUAGAGCACUCCUGCCUCAUGGAGAGCCUGACGGGGUUCUCCAGUCAGGCAGUCGAGGCAAUCCUUACAGUGGCUGGCUAACUCCCCUCAACUACACUGCUUAACGCCCCCCACUCUACACUCACACAGGCCCCUGCUUGCGGCUCGAAAGGCCCACCCCUGCUUAGGACUGAAACGCUGGCUGAUGUCCCCACCUGGAACCAAAUUUUUCCUUUUCUUUUCAUUUCUUUCUUUAUGCUAAACUGCAUCUGUCGUAAUUCAUUUAAACUGGGUCUCUUCUUUAUUUUAAAGACUUACUUUUUAUUUGUCCCCCCUUCCCAUUGCUUUGCGCUGUCUGCUCUCUGUGUCUUUUCAUUGUGCUCUGUGUCUGUUCAUCUUUUCUGUUUUUUUAGGAGGCACUGGGAACUGAACCUGGGACCUACCAUGUGGGAGGGAGGCGCCCAAUCACUUGAGCCACCUCUGCUCCCUGCUGGUACCCCUCAUUUCCUCAUUGCGUCAUCUCCUUGCAUCAUCUUGUGUCAGCUGUCUUGAUCAUUGUCUUUAGGAGGCAACAGGACCUGAACCUGGGACCUCUGUAGGGUAGGCAGGUGCCCAACUGCUUGAGCCACAUCUGCUUUCCUAAACUGGGUCUCUUAUAAAACUUUGUCUUGUUCCUGACCUGAGAGAGAACUAUUCUGAAAUUUUACUAUUAAAAAGUGUUUUGGUGUAAGGAUUUCUGGAAAGGUAUUCCGAUUGGCUGCUCAGCCCCCUGAUGCCGACAUUUUCUUUUGUGAGAUUAGGUGAGUUUGCAGCCCUAGGCUGCAUGCGAGGCUCAUUGGUUCCCUAUGACUCAUGAAUUGCAUAUGUUUACAUAAAUACACAUAACACAGUUAUACAGCAAUGUAGUUGUUUAUAUAGUUAUGCAUACGUAUAUAGUUAUAAUCAUGUCUAUAGACAUACAUAACAAGUUUAUGAGUUAUCUCAAAGUAUUAUUUCAAAUAAUUACUUUACUUUUUCCUUUACUCUGACCUGCAAUUAUAUUCAUAUGUCUGUGUUUGAAUAUAUGUAUACACACAAAGACAUAUAUAUAUGGAUAUGACUGCAGAGCAGAACAGACAAAAACAGUAUGCACCCACAAGUAAUAUAGUCGAUUCUCAUUGUUGCUGGAUUCUAUAUUAGCAAAUUAACCGACUUGCUAAAAAUCCCCAGCUGAGUGCAUACAGCGUUGUCUUAGUAUUUGCUAAUUCAGUGUUUGUGGGACUUUAUAGACAUAACUACCAUGAAUUUAAAAAUGUGACCCUAUGUAAAUAUACGUGUACAGGGGAAGCAGACGUGACCCAGUGGUUAGGGCGUCCGUCUACCACAUGGGAGGUCCACGGUUCAAACCCCGGGCCUCCCUGACCCGUGUGGAGCUGGCCCAUGCGCAGUGCUGAUGCGCGCAAGGAGUGCCCUGCCAUGCAGGGGUGCCCCCGCGUGGGGGAGCCCCACAUGCAAGGAGUGCGCCCCGUAAGGAGAGCCGCCCAGCAUGAAAGAAAGCGCAGCCUGCCCAGGAAUGGUGCUCAGCUCACACCCGCACCACCAGGAGGGCGCUCCUGUUCCGCUGCUGCUCUGCUGACCCAUGAAUCCUGGCCUCGGAAUCUCAGAAUAGCCGUCUUCCUCCGUUCCCUACGCGUGGAAAUCAGUGGGGUGACAGUGGUUUUCCAGAGACCAGUGUUUAGGGGAAGCAGGCAGCUCAGGAGUGUCUGUGGCCAGGGUGUGGGCUCUCAGCUUCGCGUCCACCAGGAGGCGCGGGAAUGCGGGCAUUCCUGAGGGAAGGCGGUAGAGCGCCCUGUGGAGAGCCACGUCCUCCCGAUCCGAGGAAGAGGACUGCACGUUCUCUGGUAGGAAAGCACUGCAGCACUCCCUGGGCAGUUUUAGAUCAUGGGCAGUUUUCCUGUUUUAGGCUGCAGUGAAUUCAUUUGCAGAGUGAGACUCGGCCCCUUCCCCAAGGCCUAGAGUACCGUUUCCGGCUGAAAGGGCUGCUGGCAGCGUGUCGUGCGCGUGUGUGCACACGCCAGCCUGCUGGGAGCGGCACUGAGGCUCCAGCACGCAGGGAUCGUGGCAGCUCCGUGGUCUCAGGUCUGCUCCCGCGGCUGCGCGCUCACCUGAGUCGCUUCCUGUCGCCAUGAAAUGGGCGGGAGAGGAGAAACUG